AGCAAACCUGUCCAGGGAUUCUUAGCUCCUGAAAGAUUAUGAAAAGAAAUCAGAACAUUCAGGGAUUCUUCAAAAGAAAGAAAUCCAAAACAACAGAGCAGGACAGAGCAGCAGAAGCCAGCAGUGCUAGUCAGUCUGAGGAUGAGAGCCAGCUUGACUCUGCUAGGGAUGUACAGCAGGAGCCUCCAGCUUCAGCUGUACACAUGGACUCAGACAAGGAUACUGGUGAUGAAGGCCCUUCAUCUUCACUUGCACAUCAGGGUGUGUCAAGUCAGCCACUCUCUGACAAUGACACUGACACUGAGAACCAUCCAGCAGUACCUGCAGGCCAUGCAGUGACACGUGGGGAUGGUGAUGCAGCAGCCCUUGUGGCCCCACCUGGACCUCAUGAUAUUUCACAGUCAAGAGCAGCAGGUCCCUCUCAGCCUCGUUUAAAGGUUUUUCCAAGAACCCUCCAAGGUGAGAAGAGGAGGGCGUUCAAUCCAGUGUGGUUUA